UACAGAGGUCCCGAGCGUUGUUCGGAUUCACUGGGCGUAAAGGGUGCGUAGGUGGCAUGGCAAGUUUGAUGUGAAAGCUCAGGGCUUAACCCUGAAAUGGCAUUGAAUACUGCUGUGCUGGAGGUUUGGAGGGGGGACUGGAAUUCUUGGUGUAGCAGUGAAAUGCGUAGAUAUCAAGAGGAACACCAGUGGCGAAGGCGAGUCCCUGGACAACACCUGACACUGAGGCACGAAAGCUAGGGGAGCAAACAGG
rnacentral:rRNA from 1 species